AGUGAACGCUGGCGGUAGGCCUAACACAUGCAAGUCGAACGGCAGCACAGUAAGAGCUUGCGCUUACGGGUGGCGAGUGGCGGACGGGUGAGGAAUACAUCGGAAUCUACUUUUUCGUGGGGGAUAACGUAGGGAAACUUACGCUAAUACCGUAUACGACCUACGGGUGAAAGCAGGGGAUCUUCGGACCUUGCGCGAUUGAAUGAGCCGAUGUCGGAUUAGCGAGUUGGCGGGGUAAAGGCCCACCAAGGCGACGAUCCGUAGCUGGUCUGAGAGGAUGAUCAGCCACACUGGAACUGAGACACGGUCCAGACUCCUACGGGAGGCAGCAGUGGGGAAUAUUGGACAAUGGGCGCAAGCCUGAUCCAGCCAUACCGCGUGGGUGAAGAAGGCCUUCGGGUUGUAAAGCCCUUUUGUUGGGAAAGAAAAGCAGCAGGUUAAUACCCCGCUGUUCUGACGGUACCCAAAGAAUAAGCACCGGCUAACUUCGUG
rnacentral:rRNA from 1 species